rnacentral:rRNA from 15 species
UGGGCUAGGGCUGCGCGAGCGGUACCAAACCUAACCAAACUCCGAAUACCAUCGAGACUUGUCUGGCAGACAGACGGCGGGUGCUAAGGUCCGUCGUCAAAAGGGAAACAGCCCUAACCUACAGCUAAGGUCCCCAAGUCAUCACUAAGUGGGAAAGCAUGUGGGAAUCCCAAAACAACCAGGAGGUUGGCUUAGAAGCAGCCAUCCUUUAAAGAAAGCGUAACAGCUCACUGGUCUAAUUAAGGGUUCCUGCGGCGAAGAUGUAACGGGGCUAAAGUGAUGCACCGAAGCUUAGGGUUCAGAAUUUAUUCUGAGCGGUAGCGGAGCGUUCCGUAAGCGGAUGAAGCCGAAGGGUAACCGACGGUGGACGUAUCGGAAGUGCGAAUGCUGACAUGAGUAGCGAUAAAGAGGGUGAGAUACCCUCUCGCCGAAAGACCAAGGGUUC